UACGAAGGGGGCUAGCGUUGCUCGGAAUUACUGGGCGUAAAGCGCACGUAGGCGGCUUUGUAAGUUAGAGGUGAAAGCCCGGGGCUCAACUCCGGAAUUGCCUUUAAGACUGCAUCGCUAGAAUUGUGGAGAGGUAAGUGGAAUUCCGAGUGUAGAGGUGAAAUUCGUAGAUAUUGGGAAGAACACCGGUGGCGAAGGCGGCGAGCUGGUCCAUUACUGACGCUGAGGCGCGACAGCGUGGGGAGCAAACAGG
rnacentral:rRNA from 1 species